CUAGACCUAUUGCUUAUAGUAUCUGAGAUAUGGACUUGACCACCAAAACUUAACCUUGUUCAUUGAUCCAUGAAAUGAGGUCGAGGUCAAGUGAAAACUGUCUGACGGGCAUGAGGACCUUGCAAGGUACGCACAUACCAAAUAUAGUUGAACUAUUGCACAUAGUAUUAGAAAAAAAGACCAAAACUCAAAAACUUAACUUUGACCACUGAACCAUGAAAAUGAGGUCAAGGUCAGAUGACACCUGCCCGCUAGACAUGUACACCUUACAAUCAUUCCAUACACCAAAUAUAGUAGACCUAUGGCAUACAGUAUAAGAAAUACAGACCAAAACACAAAAACUUAACUAUAACCACUGAACCAUGAAAAUGAGGCCAAGGUCAGAUGACACCUGCCAGUUGGACAUGUACACCUUACAGUCCUUCCAUACACCGAAUAUACUAGACCUAUUGCUUAUAGUAUCUGAGAUAUGGACUUGACCACGAAAACUUAACCUUGUUCACUG